rnacentral:rRNA from 1 species
GAUGAACGCUGGCGGCGUGCUUAACACAUGCAGGUCGAACGAGAAGUGAAGACGGAAACCUUCGGGCGGAAGGCUUUAUUUCGAGUGGCGGACGGGUGAGUCACGCGUGGGUAACCUGCCUCAUACAGGGGGAUAACAGUUGGAAACGACUGUUAAUACCGCAUAAGACCACAGCACCGCAUGGUGCGGGGGUAAAAACUCCGGUGGUAUGAGAUGGACCCGCGUUCGAUUAGCCAGUUGGCGGGGUAACGGCCCACCAAAGCGACGAUCGAUAGCCGAUCUGAGAGGAUGACCGGCCACAUUGGGACUGAGACACGGCCCAAACUCCUACGGGAGGCAGCAGUGGGGAAUAUUGCAAAAUGGGGGAAACGCUGAUGCAGCGACGCCGCGUGAGUGAAGAAGUAUUUAGGUAUGUAAAGCGCGAUCAGCAGGGAAGAAAAUGACGGUACCUGAGUAAGAAGCCCCGGCUAACUACGUG